rnacentral:tRNA from 1 species
GCGCCGUUGGUGCAGGGGUAGCAUAGUUGCCUUCCAUUAAAUUGUGAGCAACUGGGAAGGGUUCGAGUCCCUUACGGCGCA